rnacentral:rRNA from 1 species
CACGUAGGCGGUCAGGCAAGUCGGGUGUGAAAGCCCUGGGCUCAACCUGGGAAUUGCAUUCGAAACUAUCUGACUCGAGUAUGGGAGAGGGAAGCGGAAUUUCCGGUGUAGCGGUGAAAUGCGUAGAUAUCGGAAGGAACACCAGUGGCGAAGGCGGCUUCCUGGACUAAUACUGACGCUGAGGUGCGAAAGCGUGGGGAGCAAACA